GCUUUAGGCUCUUGAUAAAUGCCAACUUGGAGAUGCAGUCAGGAAGAAGGAAGGCAAGCUUGAUUCAGCAGUUACAGAGAAUGGGGAGAAUUGAAGUAUGGGUCAGAGGCAGCUGGUUUGUCUCGGCCGGGUGCUACUCAAGAAGAGCAAGGUCUUGGUGCUUGAUGAAGCUACGGCGUCAGUUGAUACAGCGACUGGCAAUCUUAUUCAGCAAACGCUUAAGCAACACUUCACGGAUUGUACAGUGUUAACCAUUGCAUAACAUCUGUGGUUGAUAGUGACAUGGUUCUACUGGUAGAUCACGGACUUAUGAAGGAAUUUGAUUCUCCAACAAAGUUGCCUGAAAAUAAGUCAUUCUCGUUCGCGAAGCUUGUUGCAGAGUACAGACAAGGUCAAGUUCUAAUUUUGAGUGAGACCUUUUUUGGCCUAAACUUCGAUGAUGACGACAGAAAUAUUGCAGUGCUUAGCAUCCCAGAUGCAUUUUGCACCAGAGGAUUGAAUAUCCUUUUUUUAUUUAAUUGUUCUAUUAUUUUAGACUACUGGUCAUGGGAAACCAAGUCAUAGGUCAGUUUACAUUCUAUGCAGGAUCUACUGCAAUUAUGUACCACUUUUGUUGAACCUAGUUUAUGUAAAAUUUUGGUAUUGUAGCCAUCUUAUAUAUGUAUAAUAAAAUGUUUGCAA